CUUGCCCUAAACGAUGUAUACUAGGUGUAGCUGGACUCAACCCCAGUUGUGCCGUAGCUAACGCGAUAAGUAUACCGCCUGAGGAGUACACUCGCAAGGGUGAAACUCAAAAGAAUUGACGGGGACCCGCACAAGCAGUGGAGUAUGUGGUUUAAUUCGAUGCAACGCGAAGAACCUUACCCAGGCUUGACAUACACAGGACGAUACUAGAAAUAGUAUUUCCCUUCGGGGUCUGUGAACAGGUGC
rnacentral:rRNA from 1 species